rnacentral:tRNA from 1 species
AAGGGUAUAGCUCAGUGGUAGAGUGCAUGCUUAGCAUACAAGAGGCCCUGGGUUCAAUCCCCAGUACCUCCA